ACACCCUGACAAACCCGGCCCCCACGCGCAGCCCAAGCCGGCUCCGCGCAGCCGGGAGCUCGCCGGCCGCCGGGCCUCGGCCCCCGGCCGCCAAGGAGAGCGGAGCGGAGCCCGCGCCGCCGGCCGGUCGCCCCGCUCCGGGGGACACUUUAAGGGAAAAACCCCAGCACCCAAUCCCCACGCUUGCACCCCGAGAGUCCCCGGGGAGCGGGAGGUAGCCCCGGAGCCAGCGGGCGCCUGGCUCUGGCCCCAAACUUACCGGGCGCUGCGAGCGCCGCUGCCGCCGCUGGAGGACGCGCCGCCGCCACCGCCGGGUAGGGCAGGCUCGGGCCGGGAGGAGCGCAGCGAGGGCGCCGAGAUCCGCUCGGCUCCGGCUCCUGCUCCGCGCCGGCUGGGGCUGGGGUCACCGCGCUGCGCCGGCGUUGCUCGCUCGCUCGGCCGCCCGAUCGCUGCUCGCCCGCCUGCCGCCCGGCCGCCCGCUCUCCCCGGCGCCCGCCGCCGCCGCUCGCUUUUUUAAUGUCCACAGACAGUGAAAAGGAACUCGGCGUUAGGGGGCUGCCACCGUGUCGGAGGCGAGGCGAGGAAGGGAGCUGGAAUAACAAAGGCAAGUUGGGGAGAGCGCAAGGGGGCGCAGCCCCGGCCGGGCUGCGGGGGGAGCCUUGCACGGCCGGGGCUUCGGAGGCUGCAGGGUCGGGGGCGCGGGGAGCCGGAGGUGGGGGAGGAAGGGUGGGGGGAGAGGGGCGGGGCUGAGGCGUGACGUCAGAGAACAAUGACACCGCCGGGGGGCGGGCACCCGGAGGCGGCCCAGGCGGGGGUCUCCCCCGGGGCCUGGGGCGGGCCGAAGAUGUCCAGGCCUGGCCGGAGCCGCCUCCUGAUUGACGAGGCCCGCAUGGGAGUGCGGACGUGCAGCACAGAUUUGCGGGUCUCCUGGGCCUCUUGGGCGGUGAUCAGCGCGGACCUUGGGCCAACCGGGGAAGCAGGCCGGAGCACUACCCCCCACCCCCAUUUUAGAACAUCCUUCUGAGGGCUUCGCUGACCUCGGCUUGAACUCCUUCAGAGCCGGAGAGAUCACUCCUUCCACCACCGAGGGAGAGGAGGCAAAAUGAAUUUGCCAGCUUUGAAUUCAUUCUCAAGGCUCCGCUAGUCUCACAGCCAGUGAACUCAGUCUGGAAUUCCUGAAAGCUCAGAAAACUGCUGCUUAGGUGGCAGCUGAGCAUCCCUGGAGAGGGUGGGUGGUAUGAAAGCACUUCCAGACCUCUAGGGACACCAGGGAGUCAUGGUCCCAGCACAUUGCUGUGUGAUUGAGCCCCUCCUCAGCCUGUGGGUGGCCUAAGUUCACAGGGAGGUAAUGGGGUAGAUUGGAUACCUCUGGGGUCUUGGAAGAAGCUAUGACUUAUUUACUGUCUACUAUGUGAAAUGACUGGACUCUUCUAUGGACCCAGUGGAGCUCAGACAAGGGUCCAGGCCCUGACACUGCCCCAGAGCAGGGGUGCCAGCACCUAUGAGGAUGCCAAGCUCAGGUCAUCGCCCUGCGGUGUCUCAGCCAACUGGGCCUCGAACAGCCCCAUAAACUUGGACAUAAACAC
rnacentral:lncRNA from 1 species